UCCUCCCUCUUUCUUCGUGCUUCCCCCCUGCACGUCGACCGGUGAAGGGACUGGUUUUGCUGGUCCUGGAUGAGUGGCGAACGGGUGAGUAACACGUGAGUAACCUGCCCCCUUCUUCUGGAUAACCGCAUGAAAGUGUGGCUAAUACGGGAUAUUCUGGGUCUGUCGCAUGGUGGGCCUGGGAAAGAUUGCGCCUUUUUUGGUGUUUUUGGUGGGGGAUGGGCUCGCGGCCUAUCAGCUUGUUGGUGGGGUGAUGGCCUACCAAGGCGGUGACGGGUAGCCGGCCUGAGAGGUGUGACGGUCACACUGGGACUGAGACACGGCCCAGACUCCUACGGGAGGCAGCAGUGGGGAAUAUUGCACAAUGGGCGCAAGCCUGAUGCAGCGACGCCGCGUGAGGGAUGGAGGCCUUCGGGUUGUGAACCUCUGUCGCCAGUGAAGCAGGCCUGCCUCUUUUUGUGGGUGGGUUGACGGUAGCUGGAUAAGAAGCGCCGGCUAACUACGUG
rnacentral:rRNA from 1 species